GAGGCGCGAGGCCCUCCUCCCGCCUCUCCGCCUACUCCAGCCUCCGCCGCCUCAGCUUCCCGAGCGAGCCCUGCGGCCGCCGGAGCAGCUCCCGCGGCGGAGCAGGAGCCGGAUGGUCAGAGGAGCCCGGCAGCCCCAGCAGCCGCGGAGUCGCCUGGCCCCCAGACUGACUGGCACAGUGGAGAAACCGCCUCGAAAACGGAGAAGCAGAAUCACUUUUGGAACUAGUUACUAUGCGAGGAGCCCAAGCAACUAGGAGUGGCCUGUGUAAGAGAGAAGCUCCUGACUCUCAGCCUAGCUGAGCUCCCAGCUGACAUCCAGGAUCAACUUCCUAGCCAUGUGAGUGAGCUGUCCUAAAAGCAGAUCCUAAUCCUUCAGAUCCCCGUCACAGUGCCCUAAUGGGUGCUUACGUAGUGUUUAUAUGUAGAGCAGAGAUGAGUUGUUCCUAACAAACUCUACCCGAAUUGCAGAUUCAUGAGCACAAUGAAAGAUUGUUUUAAGUCACUAAGUUAUAUGGCAGUGGAUAACUGGAUUGGUAUUCCAUUUUUGCCAGAGUUUAGAGUAGAGAUCAUACUAUAUGUCGAACUGCUUCAACUGUAAGAAAAAGAUAUGUUUUUACCUUUAGGAGCACUGUUAGUUUUAUAAGAGAAGAAAAAUGGAUUGUAUGUUCUCUUCCUUUAUAGAUUGUUAUUUCACUUUCAUUUUACAUAUUUAUUUAUUUUUUUACUAAAGAGCAUUACAAAACAAGAAAUCAAAUAUUGGACAAUAAUAUUUCUGCCUAGAUAACUCCAUUCUUAUGUACUUCUAGUUUAGAAGGUUGUGUGCAUGUUAAUAAGCAGUGACUUUGGGUGAUUCAGACCACAUGUGUGACCGUGGAAGGCAGCAUCCUCUUUGUA